UAUUGCGCUCCAAGGAGCACAUGAAUUUUGUGCAUGUGGCAGUGGCAAGGGCAGGGGUCUCCUUAGGAAACCCUGUGCAUUCUUUGGAAGUGGAAUCGACAGGGAAGAAUAGACAAAUCAGAAAGGACUGUAGUUUUACUCUCCUCUCUCCUUCAGAGCCAGUUAAUAAAGCCAAAGCUUGGGUUCAUGCACAAUCAAUGGGUGUGAGUUAUUCUGACAGAAAUUUACCAUCCUUCACUGAUCAUGCGGUGCUGCACAUAAUAAAUAUUCUAAACCAGUACAUUGCUGGUAAUUUAUUAGGCAGCAUAAAAUAAUGAAAACAAUACUGAGGUCUAGAGUUGAAAAUACUCAGACCGGUGAGACGGAGGAUCUAGGAAUCUGGGUAGCCCUGAGGUUUUACUGUAGGUUACAGACUUGAAGAGUUUAGGUGCCAGGUGGGAUGCUACAUUCUUAUUUAUUUUAAAGUUAUCUUCCUCACAUUUUUCUGCAAAGAUUAUUCUCUUCCUUCCAAAAGAAAAAUAGAAAUACUGUGUCUUGUCAUAAGUGUAGUAUAUAGUUUAUUUUCCUAUUUCAUUCUAUAUCUCCCAAAUCUAGAUAACACAUUCACACCUUAAAGUUCAUGUGUUGCUCAUGAGGCUCAAUGCAAAAAAUCACAUUCUAGGAAGAACCUAGAAAUGCUAAGGUCAUCAAGCUCACUCUCUGUGGAUUUAACUCUUUUCUACUACAUCCUAGUGGGUCACCAGCUGCUGAUCUCAUCCUGGAUAAUGCACAUGCCUAGAUGGAGACUGGAUGGGUGAGUGGCAGGUACCUGAAGCUUAGGGAGUGCCUGAGAUUCAGACAGUCAAACAUGAGCUUCAUGACAACACUGUGAAGUGAAGUCAUAAUUGAUGAACGGUUGUUCCCAGAGUGAGUUGAUUAAGCUGUCUACUGCAGGAAACCUUACCUGGGUGAUUUUAAGAGUUCAUCAGUCAUGUGACUUCUGAGAUACCCGUCCAUCAAGCAAGCAUUUCUCUCUUGACAUGAGGAGUUCCAUGAUGCUGGGGCUUAUCUAAUGUCUCUGUCAAUUAGCUACUGACCCACAGAAACCCUGGGCAUGUAUGUUUUGAAGUGAACAAGGUGGAUUCAGUGACAGGAUGCCAACUAAUUACACAUUCUUUUUCCUGAUGGAGCAUCUAAAAUUCGUAUGCCAGGGCUGGCCCAGUUUGGAAGGCAGCAAUGAACAAG